GCACAGUUGAGUGAAGUUGCAACAUUAUGUGUGGUGAAUUCACAAGUUCAUGCUUUUAUAAGACGUAGAAGCAAGUAUAUGAUUAGACCUUGGCAAUCCAUUCAUGCUGUCAAAGAUCUUUUUGUAAGAAGCCCACGGAGAAACUGCAACACGGGCCUGCAACAACAAGGUCUUUGGUUGACAUAUAUCAUGCUCAAUUUCAUUUAUUUCUUAU